rnacentral:misc_RNA from 1 species
CCUGUUUUAUUACUACUACUACUUAUGAACACAAAGCUCUUUGCCCUGCUACCAACACCAUGAAUAUGAACCUUAUAGGUACUAUCAAUAUUGUGGGCAAGGCAUCCCAGUGUUCCAGUGGUGUCUUUCAGUUCCUAUCUCCUUGUGGCUACAUGAGAACCUGCACCGCCUCACUCACUGAGCACACCAAAUGAUGCCAAGCUGCUCAUACAAGUAAAAAACAAGGAGGACUGUGAAAUAUUACAGCAGGACUUUAACAAGAUCUGGAGGAACAUGAGGAUGAAAAAGUGAAUUUCAGAAAAAUUGUGGAAGAGCAAACAAAAGUGAAUAAUAACGUUUUAGCCGAAAAGGUUAUCAAAGUGAUUAAGCAGAAGGAAAACUUAAUGAGAGACACAGUCAAUAAUGAAAAACAGUUACAGUAUUUGGUCUGAAGGAGGACUGUGUUGUGCAAAGAACUGAAAGAGCAAAGGAAGUGUGGGGAAAAACUGGUGGAGACAAUACAUAAGGACAAGGAAUUGACAGAGGAGGUUGAAGAAAUACAUAGAUUGGGCAGGGCAUUGCAUCUUACCAUCACCCUCAACGCAGGAAAUGUUGCACCCACAUCCCCCUUACCACAGCUGGUGGCAGAUGAUCCGGGCCCUUCCAUCCUUAUGUUGUAAGAAUUGUCACUUUGGAAGUACAUCACCCGCUUUUUUUUUUUAUGGAAGUUACAAAUAAAGAGUACAAAUAAA